UGACCGAUAGUGAACCAGUACCGUGAGGGAAAGGCGAAAAGAACCCCGGCGAGGGGAGUGAAAAAGAACCUGAAACCGUGUACGUACAAGCAGUGGGAGCCUCUUUAUGGGGUGACUGCGUACCUUUUGUAUAAUGGGUCAGCGACUUAUAUUCUGUAGCAAGGUUAACCGAAUAGGGGAGCCGAAGGGAAACCGAGUCUUAACUGGGCGU
rnacentral:rRNA from 1 species